UACGUAGGGUGCAAGCGUUAAUCGGAAUUACUGGGCGUAAAGCGUGCGCAGGCGGUUUUGUAAGUCUGACGUGAAAGCCCCGGGCUUAACCUGGGAAUUGCGUUGGAGACUGCAAGGCUUGAAUCUGGCAGAGGGGGGUAGAAUUCCACGUGUAGCAGGUGAAAUGCGUAGAGAUGUGGAGGAACACCGAUGGCGAAGGCAGCCCCCUGGGUCAAGAUUGACGCUCGAUGCACGAAAGCGUGGGGAGCAAACAGGA
rnacentral:rRNA from 1 species